AGCGUUGAAGCACAGGUUUCCAUACGAUCACCGAAGUUAAGUAACGUCGAGCUUCGUUAGUACCUAGAUGGGUGACCUCUUAGGAAUGCCAGGU